CUGCUCCAACUAUGGCUCAGUCAGUGCGGCUCAGGCUCUUCACGGGAGCGCAUCGUAUCAACUACAAAGACGCUUGUUGGAGUUCCAGCAGAGAUCAUCACUUCAGUGGACCACAAGGAGGAACCCGCUUUUUCUAUUAAUUAUUGGAAAUAAUCACACUGAUCGAUAUGCGUGAUUUACAAAAGCAGCUAUCGCUUUACGCAAGGAUUCUUUGGACACAUAAAGAGGAUUAUUUUCUGUCAUUGCACUACUGACACACGUGGAGGAGUUAUUAUUAUUAUUGGUAAAACUUUAUGAUGGCAACAGCUGAUGGAUUCAACACUCCAGCUGUGUAUAGUUCUGUAGGAUAUGAGGAAAUACUAUCUUUUUUACACGGGAUGAGUGGUGUCCAUUUCUCUUGCUGCCAAAGUCCUUCUGCUGGACAAGCCGUUUAUCGGACAGACGAGUCUCUUGGGAUAUUAUACGCGUGUGACUAGUGCCAUAGUUGGCCAACACCAUGAUACAUUUUGGAAAUCAAUAUAUGUUGCGGUGGAUUUUGACACUAGGAAAGGAAUAUCCUGGAAUAUAAUUUAAAAACGAUGCUCAGCAGAUGUCCAGCAGUUUGGAUAAUGACAGAACGCAUCUCCUCAGCAGUGAAGGAAUUCAAAUUCUUGGAAUGAGAUGUCAAACUUUAAUUGCUUCCCAGGGAUCUUCUGAUGAUCUCAGGUGAGCACCCAGAAGAGGCUGAGUAAUGGAAACGUGAUCUCAUGAGAUUCAACAGGAUCAUACUCAAUCCUGGUUUAGACUGUGGACCAGCAUCCCCUGCUACAGAUGUUUGCUCCUGGCAUGGCUGCGAACAGUUUGAGCUCCAUCACUGACAAUGUCACUCUCGGGAUCCAGCGCCAGCAGCUUGGACUUGGAGAAGCCGUGACAUAAACUCAGCGGGACAGUGGAGUGUAUUCUGCAGCUCAGACAUUAUGGAACAGAUCAGUCAACCCCGUCUGGAGAGGCGCUCGGUAGGAAAGUCCACUCCACGAAUGCACAUUCACCGUAGUUACCACAAUGGAUCUACACAUUGUUUGACUUUUUCUAAAUUGAACCUGGAUUAAUAUUUUCCUGUACAUACAUCUGCUUUUGAUAUUCACUGUUUAUUCACACUGUUGCUCAUACAUCGCAGUUGUGACAUAUACUAUGUUAUUCUGGAUACAAUAUCAACAAGCGCUGGAACAGUAAAUGGAAAAUAAUCAAAUGUUAUUUUUCAGUUUUAGUUCUAUUUUUACAGACUGAAGGCGGUGCUUACACCAGUGCAGUCACAUACAAAGUGUACUGUAUCUUGUGAAAAGCACAAAAAAAGUUUCUAUAGUGUAAAAAGAACACAUACAUGAUGAAGAUUCCAUUGAAGGGUUACUCAGUCAUUGGAAAUGUAACUUUAUCAUUUGAUAUCUCCUAAUUACAAUCACAAAGAAGCCAUUGUAAUGUUGCUUUUGAAUGCAACUCUUUAUUGACACUAGGUUUUAUUGUGACACAUUGGCAGCCUUUGUAAGUAUUGGUUAACAAUACUGUCAAGGUGCUUAUUCUGAUGAUUAUUUAUUGCUCCAUAACAGUUGUUGUGGCGGUAAAACCCUACUAACAGAAAUUAAAUAAAGAAAGUUUU